ACGGCUAAAUCACAUUGAAACUCCGGCCCCUUUCCGAUCAUCGAAGUUAAGCAAUGUCGAGCCUGAUCAAUACCGAGAUGGGCAACCGCUUGGGAAUAAUA